UACAGAGGGAGCAAGCGUUGUUCGGAAUUACUGGGCGUAAAGAGCGCGCAGGCGGCUUGGCAAGUCGGGUGUGAAAUCCCGGGGCUCAACCCCGUGACUGCAUCCGAUACUGUCAGGCUAGAGGUAGGUAGGGGAGAUCGGAAUUCCUGGUGUAGCGGUGAAAUGCGCAGAUAUCAGGAGGAACACCGGUGGCGAAGGCGGAUCUCUGGGCCUUACCUGACGCUCAGGCGCGAAAGCUAGGGGAGCGAACAGG
rnacentral:rRNA from 1 species